UACGUAGGGGGCAAGCGUUAUCCGGAUUCACUGGGCGUAAAGGGAGCGCAGGCGGCAUGGCAAGUCUGAUGUGAAAACCCGGGGCCCAACCCCGGGAGUGCAUUGGAAAUUGCCAGGCUGGAGUGUCGGAGGGGUAAGCGGAAUUCCUAGUGUAGCGGUGAAAUGCGUAGAUAUUAGGAGGAACACCAGUGGCGAAGGCGGCUUACUGGACGACUACUGACGCUGAGGCUCGAAAGCGUGGGGAGCAAACAGG
rnacentral:rRNA from 1 species